UACGGAGGGGGCUAGCGUUGUUCGGCAUUACUGGGCGUAAAGCGCACGUAGGCGGCUUUGUAAGUUAGAGGUGAAAGCCCAGGGCUCAACCCUGGAAUUGCCUUUAAGACUGCAUCGCUUGAACAUCGGAGAGGUAAGUGGAAUUCCGAGUGUAGAGGUGAAAUUCGUAGAUAUUCGGAAGAACACCAGUGGCGAAGGCGACUUACUGGACGAUUGUUGACGCUGAGGUGCGAAAGCGUGGGGAGCAAACAGG
rnacentral:rRNA from 1 species